CUUAUAACCAUUUCCUU
rnacentral:sRNA from 1 species